UAAAUAAAUAAAGUUUCGUAUAGGAUGUGUUGUUACACUACAAGUAACAUAGCGAUCAUUAUAUAUAAGAAUGAUAUUGAUAAAAAAAGCUGAUAGAAAUGUUGCUUUGAUAGAAAAGGAAAUAUAAAAUUAUGAAUGCUCCAAACUUUCUGCAACUGUGAUAAUAAAACUCCAUUCCAUAGAGUUUGUUUGUGAUGAUUAAUAUGCCACCACAUAAAUGUAGCAAAUAUUAAUGAAGCUAUGUCAAUAAACGUAAUGUUGACACAAAAAUGUUAAGUCUCGAGUUAAAUUGUUUAUCUAAAUCUGAAUCUGCUUUGAAUUAAAUUAAAUAUCAUGAAACAUGAAAUUUUUAAUGAAGUUUUGGUCCAUAAUAAUCCAAGUACCACAUAUUUUAAUAAAUAUAUUUUUAAAACGGAUUGAAAUUGAAGCAGAAAUUUAUAACAAAUUAUGUUGACGAUUGGAUAUGAAUCUCACACGAUGAUUCAAUACUUAUUAAAGCUUGGAAUGUUAUUAUGCGCAUGCGUUAACAGCAAAUUGAUAAAUAUCAUUUUUUUGAUAAACCGUGUUAAGCUUUUAUUAUAUCGUUGUUAAUCAGAUACUUUGGUAAUUAUACAGACUGAAAAGAAGCAAAACAAGUUAUAUUUUAACUUGAUAACGUGUAGUUUUUAAUAGAAUUCAAAUUAUUAAGCUCACAUUACUGUGAUUAAUAAAGCUUUGUUAUUAGCCAAUUUAACACAUUCAGUUCAGUCAUAUUUUAGGAGAACUAAAAUUUUUGUAACAUUUUGGGUGUAUUUUUCAAAAAUUUCUCCGUAAGUUAUGGCAUGUAAUCAUCAAGAAAAAUUAUCAAGAUUAUGUAGAAUUUGUGGAAAUAUAUUAGGAAAAGAUAGUUUAAAAACUGAUUCUAAAAUUGAUCGAAUAUAUAAAGUGUUUAGUAUAAAUAUAUCAGAAGAUUCUCAAUAUAUUCAUCCAAAGAAAAUGUGCAUGAGAUGUUAUACUAAUCUUAGAAACAUCGAAAAUAGAGGUAAUAAAGUUUUUAAAACUCCAAAAAUUUGGUUAAAAUGUCCUUUAAUUGAAUGCAAAUGUAUUUUUGGCAUUCUUGGUCGAAAACCAAUAUCCAAUAGAGGACGACCAGGAAAGGUUAAAAAAUGGACACAGUUUUAUUUAAAAUCAUUUCUUGAUUCAUUACCUAUGCCUAAAGAUAGAACAAAUUUUCUAAAACUAAACCAUAUUCUAAAUCCACAUAUAAAUUUAUGCAUUUGUAAAAUUUGUGGAGAAGUUAUGAAUCAGCCUGCGAUGCUGAAAAAUUGUCAACAUUCAUUUUGUAGUUCAUGCAUUUUGUCAAAUGUUAAGGAUAAAUUUGAAUGUGAUUCAAACUGUCCGUUAUGUAAAACCAACAUCACAAUUGAUAGCCUUACCUAUUCCAUCCAUAUAUCUGAAAUCUUAGAUUAUUUAACUGUUUGCAAGAUUUGUAACAAAAAUGUACUUUUAAAAGAUAUUAAUUGUGAAAAUCAUGACUGCAAAAAAUUAUUAAACAACACUUUAGAUGAA